rnacentral:rRNA from 1 species
UACGUAGGGUGCGAGCGUUAAUCGGAAUUACUGGGCGUAAAGCGUGCGCAGGCGGUUUUGUAAGCCAGAUGUGAAAUCCCCGGGCUUAACCUGGGAAUGGCAUUUGGGACUGCAAGGCUUGAGUUUGGCAGAGGAGACUGGAAUUCCUGGUGUAGCAGUGAAAUGCGCAGAUAUCAGGAGGAACACCGGUGGCGAAGGCGGGUCUCUGGGCCGAUACUGACGCUGAGGCGCGAAGGCGCGGGGAGCGAACGGG